CCAGGUCUAUUCUAUGUGUGAUCUUUCCUUUUCUGCAGACUCAUUUUGCAAGGAGGAACCCCAAGAAAUUCACCAGGCUUAAUAGCACUCAGAACCUGUGGAAGAAACCAAGAUUCUUCAGCUUAAUUGGGAGCAUGGAGAAUACAACUUGACUGCUGAGUUUGAGUAUUACCAUGGAUGAUGAGAGUAUACUCCUAGAUCUACUCUCCGUUACCCGCAGACUCAGGUAGAUGCCUACUCAAACUUUGGUUCAGAUGUGGAGACUCAGAUGUGGAGACUGACAAUGGCCCCUGCGCACACAAAGAGGAGCAGAAAAAUGGCCUCAGCCUUUUAAUGGAUUUUACAUGCAGAGAAGAGAAAGAAAAUGAUUUCGCAAGACUCUCUCCUCCGUUGACUUGCAACACAAAGAAACAUCCACCUCAGCCCAAGCAUCUUAAGAGCUAAAAUUGGCUGCUUCAUCAAAUGGAGGAGAG